rnacentral:tRNA from 1 species
GUUUUAAUAGUUUAAUAAAAACUUUGGUCUUGUAAAUCAAAAAUAAGAAUUCAUUCUUUUAAAACU